rnacentral:rRNA from 1 species
GAGGGUGAGAAUCCCGUACGUGGUCGCUAGCCUUUACCGUGUAAAGCCCCUUCGACGAGUCGAGUUGUUUGGGAAUGCAGCUCUAAAUGGGAGGUAAAUUUCUUCUAAAGCUAAAUACUGGCCAGAGACCGAUAGCGCACAAGUAGAGUGAUCGAAAGAUGAAAAGCACUUUGGAAAGAGAGUUAAAAAGCACGUGAAAUUGUUGAAAGGGAAGCGCUUGCAGCCAGACUUGCCUGUAGUUGCUCAUCCGGGUUUCUACCCGGUGCACUCUUCUAUAGGCAGGCCAGCAUCAGUUUGGGCGGUUGGAUAAAGGUCUCUGUCAUGUACCUCCUUUCGGGGAGAACUUAUAGGGGAGACGACAUGCAACCAGCCCGGACUGAGGUCCGCGCAUCUGCUAGGAUGCUGGCGUAAUGGCUGUAAGCGGCCCGUCUUGAAACACGGACCAAGGAGUCUAACAUCUAUGCGAGUGUUUGGGUGUCAAGCCCGAACGCGUAAUGAAAGUGAACGGAGGUGGGAACCUUUCGGGGUGCACCAUCGACCGAUCCUGAUGUCUUCGGAUGGAUUUGAGUAAGAGCAUAGCUGUUGGGACCCGAAAGAUGGUGAACUAUGCUUGAAUAGGGUGAAGCCAGAGGAAACUCUGGUGGAGGCUCGCAGCGGUUCUGACGUGCAAAUCGAUCGUCAAAUUUGGGCAUAGGGGCGAAAGACUAAUCGAACCCAUCAUAUC